AGAUUGAACGCUGGCGGAAUGCUUUACACAUGCAAGUCGAACGGCAGCACGGGACUCAGGCAACUGAGCCCUGGUGGCGAGUGGCGAACGGGUGAGUAACAUAUCGGAACGUACCCAGUCGUGGGGGAUAACUCUCCGAAAGGAGAGCUAAUACCGCAUACGUCCUGAGGAGAAGCGGGGACCUAAGGUACUGAGGCCUCGCGCGAUGGAGCGGCGAUAUCGGAUUAGCUAGUUGGUAGAGGUAAAGGCUACACCAAGGCGACGAGUCCGUAGGCGGGUC
rnacentral:rRNA from 1 species